AAUAAAUAGAUAUCCUAGGGGUUAACCUCCAUUAACACUUGAAGGGAGUCGGGGAGGUGAACUACCCACAAUCUUUUUGCUGAUCGGGAUCUGGAUCUUAAUUUUUUUUAUCUGAAUGGUUAAUGAAAUGGUGAGCUACACUAUCCCAAUAAGAAUAUCACUCUAACCAUUGGUACGAAAAAAGCAAAAGUUGAUAAAAAUUACAAAAUAACUAAUGGAGCCCUUUAU
rnacentral:lncRNA from 1 species